AUUGAACGCUGGCGGCAUGCCUUACACAUGCAAGUCGAACGGCAGCACGGGGCAACCUGGUGGCGAGUGGCGAACGGGUGAGUAAUGCAUCGGAACGUACCUUUCAGUGGGGGAUAACGAAGCGAAAGCUUUGCUAAUACCGCAUAAGAUCUACGGAUGAAAGCAGGGGACCGCAAGGCCUUGCGCGAACGGAGCGGCCGAUGGCAGAUUAGGUAGUUGGUGGGAUAAAAGCUUACCAAGCCGACGAUCUGUAGCUGGUCUGAGAGGACGACCAGCCACACUGGGACUGAGACACGGCCCAGACUCCUACGGGAGGCAGCAGUGGGGAAUUUUGGACAAUGGGCGAAAGCCUGAUCCAGCCAUGCCGCGUGCAGGAUGAAGGCCUUCGGGUUGUAAACUGCUUUUGUACGGAACGAAAAGACUCUGGUUAAUACCUGGGGUCCAUGACGGUACCGUAAGAAUAAGCACCGGCUAACUACGUGCCAGCCGCCGCGGUAACAC
rnacentral:rRNA from 1 species